rnacentral:rRNA from 1 species
UAAGGAAUAUUGGUCAAUGGACGCAAGUCUGAACCAGCCAUGCCGCGUGAAGGAUGAAGGUCCUCUGGAUUGUAAACUUCUUUUAUCUGGACGAAAACGGGAUUUUUAUCUCAAUUGACGGUACCAGAGGAAUAAGCACCGGCUAACUCCGUGCCAGCAGCCGCGGUAAUACGGAGGGUGCGAGCGUUAUCCGGAUUUACUGGGUUUAAAGGGUGCGUAGGUGGGCUUAUAAGUCAGUGGUGAAAUCUCCGAGCUUAACUUGGAAACUGCCGUUGAUACUAUAGGUCUUGAAUUAUCUGGAGGUAAGCGGAAUAUGUCAUGUAGCGGUGAAAUGCUUAGAUAUGACAUAGAACACCAAUUGCGAAGGCAGCUUACUACAUAUAAAUUGACGCUGAGGCACGAAAGCGUGGGGAUCAAACA